GACGAACGCUGGCGGCGUGCUUAACACAUGCAAGUCGAACGGAAAGGCCCUGCUUUUGUGGGGUGCUCGAGUGGCGAACGGGUGAGUAACACGUGAGUAACCUGCCCUUGACUUUGGGAUAACUUCAGGAAACUGGGGCUAAUACCGGAUAGGAGCUCCUGCUGCAUGGUGGGGGUUGGAAAGUUUCGGCGGUUGGGGAUGGACUCGCGGCUUAUCAGCUUGUUGGUGGGGUAGUGGCUUACCAAGGCUUUGACGGGUAGCCGGCCUGAGAGGGUGACCGGCCACAUUGGGACUGAGAUACGGCCCAGACUCCUACGGGAGGCAGCAGUGGGGAAUAUUGCACAAUGGGCGGAAGCCUAAUGCAGCAACGCCGCGUGCGGGAUGACGGCCUUCGGGUUGUAAACCGCUUUCGCCUGUGACGAAGCGUGAGUGACGGUAAUGGGUAAAGAAGCACCGGCUAACUACGUG
rnacentral:rRNA from 1 species